rnacentral:rRNA from 1 species
AUUGAACGCUGGCGGCAGGCCUAACACAUGCAAGUCGAACGGUAACAGGAAGAAGCUUGCUUCUUUGCUGACGAGUGGCGGACGGGUGAGUAAUGUCUGGGAAACUGCCUGAUGGAGGGGGAUAACUACUGGAAACGGUAGCUAAUACCGCAUAACGUCGCAAGACCAAAGAGGGGGACCUUCGGGCCUCUUGCAAUCGGAUGUGCCCAGAUGGGAUUAGCUAGUAGGUGGGGUAACGGCUCACCUAGGCGACGAUCCCUAGCUGGUCUGAGAGGAUGACCAGCCACACUGGAACUGAGACACGGUCCAGACUCCUACGGGAGGCAGCAGUGGGGAAUAUUGCACAAUGGGCGCAAGCCUGAUGCAGCCAUGCCGCGUGUAUGAAGAAGGCCUUCGGGUUGUAAAGUACUUUCAGCGGGGAGGAAGGGAGUAAAGUUAAUACCUUUGCUCAUUGACGUUACCCGCAGAAGAAGCACCGGCUAACUCCGUG